AGGGAUGUCAACGGAUCAGACUUAGGGCGGAUUUUCAAGAUCCAAACUUGAACCCGGCAACAAAUCCAAUAAUUCAAAUCCGAACCCGAAACAAUUAUUUCUUUUUAGAAAAAACUUCAAAAACCCCCCUUGUGGUUUCAAUUUUUUUCAUGUUAGUACCAUGUGGUUUAAAAUGUAUCAAGUUAGUACCCAGUGGUUUCUCACUCUAUCACUUUAAUACCCUGUGGUUUAAAAUGUAUCAAAUUAGUACACUGUGGUUUUGCACUUUAUCACUUUAGUAUCCUGUGGUUUUAAUUUUGUAUCAAAUUAGUAUCCUGUGGUUUUAAUUUUGUAUCAAAUUAGUAUCCUGUGAUUUUUUAAACCAUAGGGUACUAAAGUGAUAAAGUGUGAAAUCAUAGGGUACUAAAGUGAUAAAGUGCAAAACCACAUGGUACUAACUUGAUACACUUUAAACCACAAGGUACUAAAGUGAUAAAGUGAGAAACCACGGGGUACUAACUUGAUACAUUUUAAACCACAGGGUACUAAAAUGAAAAAGUGUGAAACUACAU
rnacentral:lncRNA from 1 species